GUACAGAUCGGUCUGUCAGAAAUUUCAUUCAGCGGAGGAAGCAUAUCAAUAAGCGGAGGAGCAUAUCAAUAAGCGGAGGAGCAUAUCAAUAAGCGGAGGAGCAUAUCAAUAAGCGGAGGAACAUAUCAAUAAGCGGAGGAUGAAUGGCUCAGCGGAUGAAUCAAAACUUUCAACAACGGAUCUCUUGGUUCUGGCAUCGAUGAAGAACGCAGCGAAAUGCGAUAAGUAAUGUGAAUUGCAGAAUUCAGUGAAUCAUCGAAUCUUUGAACGCACAUUGCGCCCGCCAGUAUUCUGGCGGGCAUGCCUGUUCGAGCGUCAUUUCAACCCUCGCGCCCCUUCUGGGAACGCGGUGUUGGGGACCGGCACAACCCGCCUCUUGGCGGGCGCCGCCCCCGAAAUACAGUGGCGGUCUCGCUGCAGCCUCCCUUGCGUAGUAGCACAACCUCGCACCGGAGCGCAGCGCGGCCACGCCGUAAAACCCCCGACUCUCCUGAGUUUGACCUCGGAUCAGGUAGGAAUACCCGCUGAACUUAAGCAUAUCAAUAAGCGGAGGAA
rnacentral:rRNA from 1 species